rnacentral:misc_RNA from 1 species
GCACCAUCCCAUCCUCCAUCGCGAGAGACACCCCAUGGCGUCCUUCUGCCGCGCCGCCGCCGCCGCCGGGGCGAGGUCAGCGGCGCUCCGCUCGAGGUCCCCGACGGCGAGACCGUUCUUGGCGGCUACGUCUCCUGUCGCGCCGCCACGCUUCCACAGGCCCCUCGUGGCGGCGGCGGCGGCGCUGGCGAGUCUGGAGUCGCUCGUGCCGCUGCACAGCGCGGUGGCCGCCGCGCGGCUGCGGUCCUGCAUCGCCGCCGGCUCCGCGUCCUGGAGCUGCCUCUCCCAAGAUUUUGCUCUACCUCGGUAAUGAAGGUUGAAGAAGGCGAUCAGUUCAGACGGGGCUGCCAAGUUCCCAUCCGUCUACACUUGACGCUCCCAGCCCCAAGCUCCAAAAGCUCUUGGCUGCCAGCAGUUCUAAGUGACGUUAGCGCUUUUGGUGUGUGUGAUGAUGGUUCUACGCGUGGUUCUUGCAGAUUUAAACAUUUGUUUCGUUCUUGGUGCUUAGCAAAUAUGCAUCGUCAGACUAACAAUCAGUUACAUAGCUAGUGUUGAUGCUUGUGUAACAAAGAUGAAUCUGUUGGAGCUGCUAGGGUGCCAAAGGUGGGGUCCCC